rnacentral:rRNA from 1 species
UACGUAGGUGGCAAGCGUUGUCCGGAUUUACUGGGCGUAAAGAGCGCGCAGGCGGUCGGAUAAGUCGAAUGUGAAAGCCCCCGGCUCAACUGGGGAGGGUCAUUCGAUACUGUUCGACUCGAAGGCAGGAGAGGGAAGUGGAAUUCCCGGUGUAGUGGUGAAAUGCGUAGAUAUCGGGAGGAACACCAGUGGCGAAGGCGACUUCCUGGCCUGUUCUUGACGCUGAGGCGCAAAAGCUAGGGGAGCAAACGGG